AGAGUUUGAUCCUGGCUCAGGAUGAACGCUGGCGGCGUGUUUAACACAUGCAAGUCGAGCGAGAAGCCGCUCAGUAGACUCUUCGGAUGAAACAGGGCGGUGGAAAGCGGCGGACGGGUGAGUAACGCGUAGGCAACCUGCCCUUUGCAGAGGGAUAGCCUCGGGAAACCGGGAUUAAAACCUCAUAAUGCGGCAUCAAGACAUCUUGGAGCCGCCAAAGAUUUAUCGGCAAAGGAUGGGCCUGCGUCUGAUUAGUUAGUUGGUGGGGUAACGGCCUACCAAGGCAGCGAUCAGUAGCCGACCUGAGAGGGUGAUCGGCCACAUUGGAACUGAGACACGGUCCAAACUCCUACGGGAGGCAGCAGUGGAGAAUCUUGCACAAUGGGGGAAACCCUGAUGCAGCAACGCCGCGUGAAGGAUGAAGGCCCUUGGGUCGUAAACUUCUGUUCUGAGGGAAGAUAAUGACGGUACCUUAGGAGCAAGUCCCGGCUAACUACGUGCCAGCAGCCGCGGUAAUACGUAGGGGGCGAGCGUUAUCCGGAAUUAUUGGGCGUAAAGAGUACGUAGGUGGUUUCCUAAGCAUGGGGUUUAAGGCAAAGGCUUAACCAUUGUUCGCCCCAUGAACUGGGUUACUUGAGUGCUGGAGGGGAAAGCGGAAUUCCUAGUGUAGCGGUGAAAUGCGUAGAUAUUAGGAGGAACACCGGUGGCGAAGGCGGCUUUCUGGACAGUAACUGACACUGAGGUACGAAAGUGUGGGGAGCAAACAGGAUUAGAUACCCUGGUAGUCCACACCGUAAACGAUGAGCACUAGGUGUCGGCCUAGCAAUAGGUCGGUGCCGCAGUUAACGCAUUAAGUGCUCCGCCUGGGGAGUACGUACGCAAGUAUGAAACUCAAAGGAAUUGACGGGGACCCGCACAAGCAGUGGAUUAUGUGGUUUAAUUCGACGCAACGCGAAGAACCUUACCAGGAUUUGACAUCCCACUAACGAAGUAGAGAUACAUUAGGUGCCCUUCGGGGAAAGUGGAGACAGGUGGUGCAUGGUUGUCGUCAGCUCGUGUCGUGAGAUGUUGGGUUAAGGCCCGCAACGAGCGCAACCCUUAUCGUCCGUUACUAACAGGUAAAGCUGAGGACUCAGACGAGACCGCCGGGGACAACUCGGAGGAAGGUGGGGACGACGUCAAAUCAUCAUGCCCCUUACGACCUGGGCUACACACGUGCUACAAUGGGUACAACAAAGAGACGCGAGACCGCAAGGUGGAGCAAAACUCAGAAAAGUACUCUCAGUUCAGAUUGUGGGCUGCAACCCGCCCACAUGAAGUUGGAGUUGCUAGUAAUCGCGGAUCAGCAUGCCGCGGUGAAUACGUUCCCGGGCCUUGCACACAAGGCCCGUCA
rnacentral:rRNA from 1 species